GCCUUUCAGACAUGGGCUGCGCCAAG
rnacentral:piRNA from 1 species